rnacentral:rRNA from 1 species
ACCGAUGAACCACGCGAUGGAGCUAUCCCGUCUGGCUCACUUCACUCGCCGCGCGUCGCGAAAACCGGAAAGCUGAGGCGGACAGACAGCGACCGCCGGCGCCUCCCAGCCUCGGCCUGGUCGCCUCCUCCCUCCCCCAUCCCCAUGGACGACUUGACCUCUUCUUCUUCCCCCCCUCCCCCCUCCUCCGCCCACUAUACCACGCCCACUCCUCCUCCUGCUACGCCGCAGCCGGCCGCAGAAGCUACUACAGACCUCCGCGUCCGCACGGGUGCCGGCUACAGUUAGAGACAGUGCCGUUCGCUUCUUGGGCGCACCGCGAUGCCGCCGGGGGCGGGCCGCCGGGCGGCGGUGGACGUGGAGGACCUGCUGGUGCGCGUCAAGAACGGCGCCGGGCCCGAGCUCGGCGCCGUGGCGCGGGAGGUGGCCGCGCUGGCCGGCGAGGGGAGGCUCGGGGAGGACGAGGAGGGCGGGGUCCUGGUGCCGGCGCUGCUCGCGCGGCUCGCCGGCGCGGGGGACGCCGAGGUCAGGGUCCUCGUCAUGGCCGCGCUGCGGCGCCUCGCGGGAUGCGCCGGCGGAGAGACCAAGGAGAGGAUGGCAAGCAUUGAGGCACUUUCAAGCAUCGUACGCUCCUUGUCUAGAGACGUCGAUGAGAGAAUGGAAGCAAUUGCGCUGCUAUUGGAUUUGUCAGACAUUCCACAGGUCCGGCAGAGGAUUGGCAGGAUCAAAGGAUGUAUAGUGAUGCUGGUCACGCUGAGGAAUGCACACGAAUCACGCACCUAUGAUGACGCAGAGAAGUUGCUGCACAUUUUGUCGUACAACCCACAAAAUGUGCUGCUCAUGGCAGAGGCUGGCUAUUUUCGACCAUUGAUACAUUACCUGAAAGAAGGUUCAGAUAUGAACAAGAUCCUAAUGGCAACCGCUAUUUCCAAGAUGUUCCUCUCUGAACAGAUGAAAUCUUCCCUUGGAGAAGACGGAGCGGUCGAGCCCCUUGUGGAGAUGUUUAAAUCUGGAAACCAUGAAGCCAAGCACUCAGCCCUAGCCGCCUUGCGUAAUCUCUCUAGCUCUCUGCAAAACGCAGAACUUUUGAUAAAUUGUGGCAUAACUGGAUCACUGCUUCAACUCCUUUGCUCGGUCACAUCAGUGCUCAUGACCCUUAGAGAGCCAGCCGCGGCUAUACUCUCAAAUAUAGCACAAUCUGAUCGUAUCCUACUCCAUAGGGAUGCAGCUCCUCAGAUGCUCUCACUUCUUAACUUAUCGUGUCCAGUAAUUCAGCUGCAUCUUUUAAGGGCCCUCAAUAGUAUUUGUGGGUACACAAACGCUAAGAGGGCUAGAGCUAAAAUUAGACAAAAUGGUGGAGUGCAGCUCCUCCUGCCAUUCCUUAGAGAAAAGAAUGUUGGUAUCAAAGUUGCUGCUUUGAAUUUAAUGUUCCAUCUAUCAAAAGAUGCUUCACAAGAAUUGGCCGAACAGAUCAGGGAGACCCAUCUUGAUAUCUUAGUGAAGAUUAUUGCUUCUCCUACACCUGGGAUUGCCGAGAAGGCUGCAGCUGUUGGUGUCCUAAGUAACCUCCCGGUGGCAGAUAAGAAUAUCACUAAGUUUCUCACACAAGCAAACUUGCUUCCAGUUCUGAUCUCCUUAUUGGAGGCAAACAUCUCAGCAUCUCCGUCGCCACAAAAACUAUGGUUACUUGAGGGCAUUGCUGGUGUGUUAGCCAGGUUCACCGUUCCUUGGGAUAAGAAACUACAAAGCUUAGCAGUUGGACAUGGGGUAGUUCCUUGGCUCGUCAAGCUGCUUUCAGAAGGAUCAGUAAAGGCAAAGUCUAAAUCAGCGACAUCUUUGGCUCAACUGUCACAGAAUUCAGUAGCAUUACGCAAGGCAAAAUCUCCAAGGUGGCUUUGUGUUCCCCCAUCAGCCGAGUCUUACUGUAUUGUUCACGAUUACCAGUGCACUGUGAAGAGCACUUUCUGCUUGGUAAAAGCUGGUGCUGUCAACCCACUGGUCCAAAUACUAGAAGGCGAAGAGCGUGAAGCAGAUGGAGCGGUGCUGGAAGCGCUGGCUACCCUCGUGCACGACGAGAUCUGGGAGAACGGGAGCAGGGCGAUAGAGAAGGCGUCAGGUGUCCAUGCUCUGCUGAGAGUCGCCGAGGCAGGCGAGCUGACCUCCCAGGACAAGGCAAUAUGGAUUCUGGAGAGGAUCUUCCGGCUCGAAGAGCACAGAGAGCAGUAUGGCGGGAUCGUGCAGGCUCUGCUCAUCGAUCUCGCUCAGAAAGGCGACCCUGUCCUGAAACCGAUGAUCGGCAGGAUCCUUGCUCACCUUCAGCUACUUCAAACGCAGUCCAGCUACUUUUAAGCAUAGCCGUUGUGCAGUGAUGCUGGUUGAAUGACCUGGGCAACCACCAGCGCCCCUUGAAGGAUGCCUGAUGCCCUGAUACAUAUACUUGACAGGAUGUUUGAAGUUCAACAUCUCUUUUGUCAACCAAGAUGUUUAUGAAUCUCCCGGAUUACCUCUGAAGGGAGAUUUUGUUAUUGUGCAGUAGUGUCAACACGGCUGCUCUGUAUUUUCCUGCUCAUUUUUGUUAGUUAUAAAGGAGUGCGUUACUCAGAUGAAAAAAAGAUGCAAGUUUAUAGCGUAGGUUAAUCAUAUGUCCAGCGAGAGAUACUUCAUUGAUAUGUAGAUAUAUACAUACACCCAUUGUUUUGUACAGCACAUCUGUUCAACUCCCAGGGAUUGUAAAUUGGGCUACCAUGAAUUCAUGAUUGCAGACAGCCGCUCGGGCACAACAAGUUGCUUGAGUCUUUUUUCUCCGGUAAUGCUAACUGGUGAACGUUCGCUGGGAAGAAACUCCCAGCGAACGCCCUUGCAGCCGUUUGAUCAAAGUAAUUGCCACCCCCCAGAUUCCAG